rnacentral:rRNA from 1 species
AUUGAACGCUGGCGGCAGGCCUAACACAUGCAAGUCGAACGAGGGGCGGACGGGUGAGUAAUGUGUGGGAAAGCGCCUGAGGGAGGGGGAAAACUACGAGAAACGAGAGAUAAUACCGCAUACCAUGGGAUGUGCCUAUGUGGGAUUAGCUAGUAGGUGGGGUAAAGGCUCACCUAGGCGACGAUCCCUAGCUGGUCUGAGAGGAUGACCAGCCACACUGGAACUGAGACACGGUCCAGACUCCUACGGGAGGCAGCAGUGGGGAAUAUUGCACAAUGGGCGCAAGCCUGAUGCAGCCAUGCCGCGUGUAUGAAGAAGGCCUUAGGGUUGUAAAGUACUUUCAGCGGGGAGGCGUUACCGGCAGAAGAAGCACCGGCUAACUCCGUGCCAGCAGCCGCGGUAAUAC